GCUUCCGGUGGCGCACGGCGUUCGGGUGCACCGGCCGCUUCGGGUGCCCGCCGGUCGGGCUCCGGCUCGAGCGGUGGCGC
rnacentral:tRNA from 1 species